rnacentral:tRNA from 2 species
GGGUAAUUAGCUCAGUUGGUUUAGAGCACCAGCUCGACAAGCUGGGGGUCGCAGGUUCGAAUCCUGCAUUACCCA